AUUGAACGCUGGCGGCAUGCCUUACACAUGCAAGUCGAACGGCAGCACGGGAGCUUGCUCCUGGUGGCGAGUGGCGAACGGGUGAGUAAUGCAUCGGAACGUGCCCUGAAGUGGGGGAUAACGUAGCGAAAGUUACGCUAAUACCGCAUAUUCUGUGAGCAGGAAAGCAGGGGAUCUUCGGACCUUGCGCUUUUUGGAGCGGCCGAUGUCGGAUUAGCUAGUUGGUGGGUAAAGGCCCACCAAGGCGACGAUCCGUAGCGGGUCUGAGAGGAUGAUCCGCCACACUGGAACUGAGACACGGUCCAGACUCCUACGGGAGGCAGCAGUGGGGAAUUUUGGACAAUGGGCGCAAGCCUGAUCAGCCAUGCCGCGUGAGUGAAGAAGGCCUUC
rnacentral:rRNA from 1 species